rnacentral:lncRNA from 1 species
UCUUUUUCUGUCCUACUACACUGUCUUUGUCAAGGAAAAAGAAAAAAGAAGUGGAGAAAAAGAAGAAACACUAUCAUGGUGUAGCUCCAGCAGGCAGCUCAGCACUAUCUAUAGCUGCUCACUCACUCUACACAGGUGGGAUGGGGGAAAGAAUUAGUAAGAGUGCAAGAACACAUGGGUUGAGAUAAAGACUAUUUACACUAGGUAAAGCGAUAGCCACAUGUGCACGCAAAGUAAAACAAAUAAUUCAUUUGCUACUUCCCAUGGGCAGGCAGGUGUUCAGCCACUUCCAGGAAAACAGGGCUCACCAUGCGUAACGGUUUAUUGGGAACACAACCACUUAUCACUCCAAAUGUCACCCCUUCCUUCUUUACCUCAGCUUUUAUAGCUGAGCAUAAUGUCAUCUGAGCAGUGACUAAUGGAGACUGCACUGCAUCUGUGGCACAGAGCUCCAUAGAGUGGGUGUGAAAAGCUUUCAGAUGAGGAGGAUCACUUCCAAGCCCUCACCUGGGACCUGGUAUUCUCCAUUAUCUUCAAGCUGAGGCCCAAGAUGGAUAACGGAGGGUUUCUUUUGUUUCGUUAUGUUUUCUGAAGUGCCCGUAUUAUUUUUUCACCUCCUUCAAGAAUCAGAGCUUGAAACAAUGCCGGUAAUUCAAUCAGGAGAGGUGCUCCAGUCUUCUGAUCAUCUUAGUGGCCCUCCUCUGAACCCAUUCCAAGAGCUCCAGAUAUCCAACCAAGAACUCCUGCAGAGAUUCCUUUUGCAGAAGACCAUCCUGAUGGACAUGAGUAAGCUUUACUGACCAGCAGAGUCUUCUUCCCACUUUGUCUCUGGGGCUCAGUCCUGCUCUGCCUCACCCCAGCUU